CGUACACUCCUGCGGGAGGCAGCAGUGAGGAAUAUUGGACAAUGGGUGGAAGCCUGAUCCAGCCAUCCCGCGUGCAGGAAGACGGCCCUAUGGGUUGUAAACUGCUUUUAUCUGGGGAUAAACCUACUUACGUGUAAGUAGCUGAAGGUACCAGAAGAAUAAGCACCGGCUAACUCCGUGCCAGCAGCCGCGGUAAUACGGAGGGUGCAAGCGUUAUCCGGAUUUAUUGGGUUUAAAGGGUCCGUAGGCGGACUGAUAAGUCAGUGGUGAAAUCCGACAGCUUAACUGUCGAACUGCCAUUGAUACUGUUAGUCUUGAGUAAGGUUGAAGUGGCUGGAAUAAGUAGUGUAGCGGUGAAAUGCAUAGAUAUUACUUAGAACACCAAUUGCGAAGGCAGGUCACUAAGUCUUAACUGACGCUGAUGGACGAAAGCGUGGGGAGCGAACAGGAUUAGAAACCCUUGUAGUCCCA
rnacentral:rRNA from 1 species